rnacentral:lncRNA from 1 species
AGAGAUCAUGUAAUUUUAUUUCCGAGUAUUUUGGAAACUUUUUGUAAUUCUUAUCGCUAUCCAAAUUUGGUUGAUACAAUAAUUUCAAUUCCUAUAAUAAAAUUUCAUUAAUUUUUAAUACAGGAUUUUUUGAAAAUUUAAGAUUUAACAAAACCUAAGUUCAAUCUUUUUAUAAUAUCCGUGCAGCUUACGCAUAGUAAAAUUAUCUAUUCAAUAGUAUUCAUUAUGACCUUGAUAUGUGUUUUUCUAAAAUUACAGAUUAUAUACUUUGCACAU